rnacentral:rRNA from 1 species
UACCAGCACCCCGAGUGGUCGGGACGUUUAUUGGGCCUAAAGCAUCCGUAGCCGGUUCUACAAGUCUUCCGUUAAAUCCAACUGCUUAACAGGUGGGCUGCGGAAGAUACUAUAGAGCUAGGAGGCGGGAGAGGCAAGCGGUACUCGAUGGGUAGGGGUAAAAUCCGUUGAUCCAUUGAAGACCACCAGUGGCGAAGGCGGCUUGCCAGAACGCGCUCGACGGUGAGGGAUUAAAGCUGGGGGAGCAAACCGG